GUGGAUUAGAUACCCCAGUAGUCCACGCCGUAAACGGUGGGCGCUAGUUGUGCGAACCUUCCACGGUUUGUGCGACGCAGCUAACGCAUUAAGCGCCCCGCCUGGGGAGUACGAUCGCAAGAUUAAAACUCAAAGGAAUUGACGGGGCCCCGCACAAGCAGCGGAGCAUGCGGCUUAAUUCGACGCAACGCGAAGAACCUUACCAAGGCUUGACAUAUACAGGAAUACGGCAGAGAUGUCGUAGCCGCAAGGUCUGUAUACAGGUGGUGCACGGUCGUCGACAACU
rnacentral:rRNA from 1 species